rnacentral:rRNA from 1 species
AGCAGUCGCCACGGUAAUACGUAGGUGGCGAGCGUUGUCCGGAAUCAUUGGGCGUAAAGGGAGCGCAGGCGGGCAUGUAAGUCUUUCUUAAAAGUUCGGGGCUCAACCCCGUGAUGGGAAAGAAACUACAUGUCUUGAGUACAGGAGAGGAAAGCGGAAUUCCCAGUGUAGCUGUGAAAUGCGUAGAUAUUGGGAGGAGCACCAGUGGCGAAGGCGGCUUUCUGGACUGCAACUGACGCUGAGGCUCGAAAGCCAGGGGAGCGAACGGGAUUAGAUACCCCUGUAGUCCCUGUCUCUUAUACA